UGAGGAAUAUUGGACAAUGGGUGAGAGCCUGAUCCAGCCAUCCCGCGUGAAGGAUGACGGUCCUAUGGAUUGUAAACUUCUUUUGUACAGGGAUAAACCUACUCUCGUGAGGGUAGCUGAAGGUACUGUACGAAUAAGCACCGGCUAACUCCGUGCCAGCAGCCGCGGUAAUACGGAGGGUACAAGCGUUAUCCGGAUUUAUUGGGUUUAAAGGGUCCGUAGGCGGAUUUGUAAGUCAGUGGUGAAAUCUCAUAGCUUAACUAUGAAACUGCCAUUGAUACUGCAGGUCUUGAGUAAAUUUGAAGUGGCUGGAAUAAGUAGUGUAGCGGUGAAAUGCAUAGAUAUUACUUAGAACACCAAUUGCGAAGGCAGGUCACUAAGAUUUAACUGACGCUGAUGGACGAAAGCGUGGGGAGCGAACA
rnacentral:rRNA from 1 species